AGUAAUGUAUCAACCAUCAUACCAAAUAUGCACCAAUCGAUAAUCGUGGACAAGCCAGGAAGUAUCAUUAUACUGUUUGAUUACAUCUUUUUUUUUAUUGUUUACAGUUAUCAUUUGUUCAAUUUGGCUACCACGUAAUCGAUUAUUGCUGUUCACUAUAAACACCACCUAUCGCCUAUGGAUUUAUCGUUAGAUCCUGCCUGCCAAAAUUAUGGCACCACAAUGGUAUGUCUCUUCCUCGGUCCAUCGACAACAUCGAUCGCUGGGUCUGAUCGAGAGCAAGUGUAUCUCAAACGUAAUUAAAAGAAAAUGAAAAAAGAAAAGAAAUAACCAAAAUAAAUAAAAUGUACACGAUUGUAAAAGAGGCAAGAGAUCACGCAAGUAGUAUAUACGAUAGGUAGUAGGAAUAUAACAAUAUUAAAAGUAAUUUCAUUUGUAAAGCAGUAAAAUUAAAAAGGUCCAUUCGUCGAGUGUUGUAAUGCACCGAGAAUUAUUUCGAGUAUAAAAGUGAAAAA
rnacentral:lncRNA from 1 species